AACCGGAGCUAAUACCGGAUAAUCCUUUCCCUCACAUGAGGGAAAGCUGAAAGACGGUUUCGGCUGUCACUUACAGAUGGGCCCGCGGCGCAUUAGCUAGUUGGUGAGGUAACGGCUCACCAAGGCAACGAUGCGUAGCCGACCUGAGAGGGUGAUCGGCCACACUGGGACUGAGACACGGCCCAGACUCCUACGGGAGGCAGCAGUAGGGAAUCUUCCGCAAUGGACGAAAGUCUGACGGAGCAACGCCGCGUGAACGAUGAAGGCCUUCGGGUCGUAAAGUUCUGUUGUCAGGGAAGAACAAGUACCGGAGUAACUGCCGGUACCUUGACGGUACCUGACCAGAAAGCCACGGCUAACUACGUGCCAGCAGCCGCGGUAAUACGUAGGUGGCAAGCGUUGUCCGGAAUUAUUGGGCGUAAAGCGCGCGCAGGCGGUUCCUUAAGUCUGAUGUGAAAGCCCCCGGCUCAACCGGGGAGGGUCAUUGGAAACUGGGGAACUUGAGUGCAAAAAAGGAGAGCGGAAUUCCACGUGUAGCGGUGAAAUGCGUAGAGAUGUGGAGGAACACCAUUGGCGAAGGCGGCUCUCUGGUCUGUAACUGACGCUCAGGCGCGAAAGCGUGGGGAGCGAACAGGAUUAGAUACCCUGGUAGUCCACGCCGUAAACGAUGAGUGCUAAUUGUUAGAGGGUUUCCGCCCUUUAGUGCUGCAGCAAACGCAUUAAGCACUCCGCCGGGGGAGUACGGCCGCAGGGUGAAACUCAAAGGAAUUGACGGGGGCCCGCACAACCGUUGGAGCAUGUGGUUUAUUUCGAAGCAGGCGCAGNAACNUUACAGGUCUGGACGUCCUCUGACAACCUAAAGAAAGGCGUUCCCUUCCGGGGAGGAAUGACAGUGGUGCGGGGUGUCUUCCCUCCGUCCGGAAAUUUA
rnacentral:rRNA from 1 species